rnacentral:rRNA from 1 species
GACGUAGGGUGCAAGCGUUGUCCAGAUUUAUUGGGCGUAAAGAGCUCGUAGGCGGCUUGUUGCGUCGACUGUGAAAACCCGCGGCUUAACCGCGGGCUUGCAGUUGAUACGGGCAGGCUAGAGUUCGGUAGGGGAGACUGGAAUUCCUGGUGUAGCGGUGAAAUGCGCAGAUAUCAGGAGGAACACCGGUGGCGAAGGCGGGUCUCUGGGCCGAUACUGACGCUGAGGAGCGAAAGCGUGGGGAGCAAACAGG